rnacentral:rRNA from 1 species
AACGAACGCUGGCGGCAUGCCUAACACAUGCAAGUCGAACGAGACCUUCGGGUCUAGUGGCGCACGGGUGCGUAACGCGUGGGAACCUGCCCUUAGGUUCGGAAUAACUCCCCGAAAGGGGUGCUAAUAACGGAUAAUGUCUUCGGACCAAAGAUUUAUCGCCUUUGGAUGGGCCGGGGUUGGAUUAGCUGGUUGGGAGGGUAAAAGCCUACCAAGGGGACGAUCCAUAGCUGGUCGGAGAGGAUGAUCAGCCACACUGGGACUGAGACACGGCCCAGACUCCUACGGGAGGCAGCAGUGGGGAAUAUUGGACAAUGGGCGAAAGCCUGAUCCAGCAAUGCCGCGUGAGUGAUGAAGGCCUUAGGGUUGUAAAGCUCUUUUACCCGGGAUGAUAAUGACAGUACCGGGAGAAUAAGCACCGGCUAACUCCGUG